UACAGAGGUCCCGAGCGUUGUUCGGAUUUAUUGGGCGUAAAGGGUGCGUAGGCGGCGGAGUAAGUUGGGUGUGAAAUCCCGGGGCUUAACCUCGGAAUUGCAUUCAAUACUGCUUCGCUCGAGUACUGGAGAGGAGGCUGGAAUUUACGGUGUAGCAGUGAAAUGCGUAGAUAUCGUAAGGAAGGCCGGUGGCGAAAGCGAGCCUCUGGACAGUUACUGACGCUGAUGCACGAAGGCCAGGGGAGCAAAUGGG
rnacentral:rRNA from 1 species